rnacentral:snoRNA from 1 species
AAUCCAUGGUGAGGGCAUCUUCUCAUCAAUUCCUUAUACCUUUCUCAAGCUUCAUAUAAUGAUUCAGAAUCAAAUUGCAUGAAAGAAGUUAUAUCAUUCUGCAUCU